AACGAACGCUGGCGGCGUGCCUAACACAUGCAAGUCGAGCGCGAAAAGGGCAACCUGAGUAGAGCGGCGCACGGGUGCGUAACACGUGGGUAAUCUGCCUUAGAGUCGAGGAUAACCUUCCGAAAGGUUGGCUAAUACUCGGUAAGCUUACGGUGUCUUCGGACGCUGUGGGAAAAGUAGGCCUCUGUUUACAAGCUUACGCUCUGAGAUGAGCCCGCGGCCCAUCAGCUAGUUGGCGGUGGAACGGACCACCAAGGCAACGACGGGUAGCUGGUCUGAGAGGACGAUCAGCCACACUGGAACUGAGACACGGUCCAGACUCCUACGGGAGGCAGCAGUGGGGAAUUUUCCACAAUGGGCGAAAGCCUGAUGGAGCAACGCCGCGUGUGUGAUGAAGGUUUUCGGAUCGUAAAGCACUUUCGACUGGGACGAAAAACCUUUGGCUAACAUCCAGGGGUCUGACGGUACCAGGAGAAGAAGCACCUGCUAACUCUGUGCCAGCCGCCGCAGUAAUAC
rnacentral:rRNA from 1 species